rnacentral:tRNA from 1 species
AGGGGAUUGUCGUAAUUGGUAGCCGAGACAGUCUUAGAAACUGUUGCUUCAGAAGCGUGAGGGUUCAAGUCCCUCAUCCCCUA